AGCUCAGUGGUAAAGCAUUUGCCUAGCAUGUUCAAGACUCUGGGUUCCAUCCCAAGUUCCACACACACAAAAAAAAAUUAUCCCACUCAAAAUAUUAAUAUCACUCCAUUGAGAAAUAAUCUUAAGAUUGCAGGUGAUUUCUUAGUACCUAUGUUUAAUGAACAUUUUUCAAUCUUUUUCCUACUCAAUCUCAGAAUAUUUAGCAUUGAUUUAUCAUCUUGUACUCUACAACCAGAUGCUGAGAUUCUUCAAGAAUUAGUCCCUCAGAAGUGAUGGUAGCAAAAAUGGCCAGUAGGAAACUCCAGGGACACACCCCUCCACAAAAACAUUGAAUAAAUUGGAAAAAAUUUUCAGAAUCAACUUGAUGUAACUCCAGAAACUUGUAGGAAAAAGUUUUAAUGGCUGGGAAGUCCAAGAUCAUGACACUGGCAUAUUUGAUGUCUGGUGAGGGCUUCUCUUUGCUUCCAAGAUGGCAUUUUAUACUGCAUCCUCCAGAGGGGAAGAAUGUUGUAUCAUCAUAUAGCAGAAGAAAGAACAAAAAGGAUGGACUCUAUCAAGUCCUUUUAUAAAGGCACCUCAUCUCAUCCAUGAGGGGAGAAGCCCUCAUGACCUAGUCACCUUUUGAAGCCCUCACUUCUAGUUCCAUCACAUUUACCAUUAAAUUUCAACACCUGAAUUUUGGUGGGCACACAUUCAAAUCACAGGAGGUCAAAAAAGAUGUUCCAAAAUAUCUCAAUUCUACAUGGAACAUUCUUCUAGCUAAAACAUGUUAGUCCACAAAAUAAUCUCAAAAUUUUUUUUAAGAUUGAAAUUAUAUCAGGUAUCUUCUCUGACCACAAUGGAAUGAAACUAGAAUUAACAUACCCUUAACCAAUAGGUAAAAGAAGAAAUUAUGAAAGGAAUUAGAAAAUACUUCGAGGUGAAUGAAAAAAGGAAACAACACACUAAAACUUACACAAUGCAGAAAGCAGUUCUCAAAGAAAAAUUAAUAUCGGCAAAUGUCUAAAAAAAAUUUGGGCUGAGGAUGUAGCUCAGUGGUGGAGCAUGUGCUUGGCAUGUGCGAAGCCCUAGGUUCAAUUCCCAGCACCAAAAAAAGGACAUCCCACUUUAAAAAUGAGCAAAAGGGGCUGAAAACAUAGCUUAUCUUAAUAGUAGAGUGCUUGAGAGAACUUGGAUGGACAUUUUUCCAAAGAACAUAUUUCUUUCUUUUUUUGGCAGUGGGGCCAGGUGUGUGCUGGGGAAUCAUGAUAUUUAAAUGGACAAUAAGAACUCAGAAAGGGUGCCAGGGUUGUGGCUCAGUGGUAGAGCACUUGCUGAGCAUAUGUGAGGCAGUGGGUUCAAUCUCAGAACCACAUUUAAAAAAAAAAAGGUAUUGUGUUCAUCUACAUCUAAAUAUGAUAUAUAUAUAUAUAUAUAUAUAUUAUAUAUAUACACAAAACUCAAAAAGGUGCACAACAUUUUUAGUUAUUAGGAAAAUGCAAAUCAAAACCACAAUAAGAUAACACUUCUUAUCCACUAGAAUGGCUAUUAAUCACAAAGUGUUGGCAGGGAUGUGGAGACACUGAUCGCUUCUUAAACUGCAAGUGGAAAUAUAAAGUGAUGUGGUUGCCAUUAAAAACUAUUUGAUGGUGCUGGGGUUGUGGCUUAACAGUAGAACACUUGCCUAACACAUGUGGGGCACUGGGUUCCAUCCUCAGUACCACAUAAAAAUAAAAUAAAGAUAUUGUGUCCAACUACAAUUAAAAAACAAAAAUAUUAAAAAAAAAAAGUUUGGUGGUCCCUCAAAUUUUUAAACGUGACAUUAUGACCCCCCCCAGUUCUUCUUAAUAUCUACUCAAAAUAAUAGAAAAGAGGCAUUCAAACAAAAACAUAUACAAAAGCUUGUACAUAAUGUUUAGGGUAUCAUUAUUCAUAAGAGUCAAAAAGUAGAAACCUGAAUGUCCAUCAACAGAAGAAUGGACAAAUGGAGAUAUAUCCAUAUAAUGGAAUAUUACUCAGCUAUAAAUAAGAAUAAAGUACUAAUACAUUCUGCAA